AAAACGACUCUCGGCAACGGAUAUCUCGGCUCUCGCAUCGAUGAAGAACGUAGCAAACUGCGAUACUUGGUGUGAAUUGCAGAAUCCCGUGAACCAUCGAGUCUUUGAACGCAAGUUGCGCCCGAAGCCAUCCGGCUGAGGGCACGUCUGCCUGGGCGUCACG
rnacentral:rRNA from 1 species